rnacentral:rRNA from 1 species
AUUGAACGCUGGCGGCAGGCCUAACACAUGCAAGUCGAGCGGAUGAAGGGAGCUUGCUCCUGGAUUCAGCGGCGGACGGGUGUGUAAUGCCUAGGAAUCUGCUUGUUAGUGGGGGAUAACGUCCGGAAACGGGCGCUAAUACUGCAUACGUCCUGAGGGAGCAAGGGGGGGAUCUUCGGACCUCACGCUAUCAGAUGAGCCUAGGUCGGAUUAGCUAGCUGGUGGGUUAAAGGCCUACCAAGCCGACGAUCCGUAACUGGUCGUAGAGGAUGAUCAGUCACACUAGAGCUGAGACCGCGUCCAUGCGACUGCGAGAGGCAGCAGUGGGCAAUAUUAGGCAGUAGGCGGAAGCCUGAUACAGCCAUGCCGAGUGUGUGAAGGAGGUCUUCGGAUUGUAAAGCAGUUUAAGUUGUGAGGAAGGGCAGUAAGUUAAUACCUAGCGGUUUUGACGUUACCAACAGAAUAAGCACCGGCUAACUUCGUG